rnacentral:rRNA from 1 species
GCCAGCAGCUAUCAACUCUGCAGCUGUCAUCUGGUCGCCCACUGAAGCUAAGCAGGGUUGAGCCUGGUCAGUACCUGGACGGUCGACCUCCUGGGGAAAACUAAGUUGCUGCUGGAA